AUCCAGCUGACGAGUUUCAAAUAGGACGAAACUUGUGUUUUGAAU
rnacentral:hammerhead_ribozyme from 1 species